AUUGAACGCUGGCGGCAGGCCUAACACAUGCAAGUCGAGCGGCAGCGACUUAACUGAACCUUCGGGGAACGUUAAGGGCGGCGAGCGGCGGACGGGUGAGUAAUGCCUGGGAAUAUGCCCUGAUGUGGGGGAUAACUAUUGGAAACGAUAGCUAAUACCGCAUAAUCUCUUCGGAGCAAAGAGGGGGACCUUCGGGCCUCUCGCGUCAGGAUUAGCCCAGGUGGGAUUAGCUUGUUGGUGAGGUAAUGGCUCACCAAGGCAACGAUCCCUAGCUGGUCUGAGAGGAUGAUCAGCCACACUGGAACUGAGACACGGUCCAGACUCCUACGGGAGGCAGCAGUGGGGAAUAUUGCACAAUGGGGGAAACCCUGAUGCAGCCAUGCCGCGUGUGUGAAGAAGGCCUUCGGGUUGUAAAGCACUUUCAGUAGGGAGGAAGGUAGUGUAGUUAACACCUGCACUAUUUGACGUUACCUACAGAAGAAGCACCGGCUAACUCC
rnacentral:rRNA from 1 species